GAUGAAGAACGCAGCGAAAUGCGAUACGUAGUGUGAAUUGCAGAAUUCAGUGAAUCAUCGAAUCUUUGAACGCACAUUGCGCCCUUUGGUAUUCCGAAGGGCAUGCCUGUUCGAGCGUCAUUAUCACCCCUCAAGCCCCCGGCUUGGUGUUGGACGGUUUGGCGGAGGCCCUCCGGGGCCCUUGCCCCUCCCAAAGACAAUGACGGCGGCCUCGUUGGACCCCCGGUACACUGAGUUCUUCACGGGACACGUACUGGACUAAGGGUGAGCGGGGCACGGUCUGCCUCCCCUCAGGGAGAAUCUUUUUUUACAAGGUUGACCUCGGAUCAGGUAGGGAUACCCGCUGAACUUAAGCAUAUCAAUAAGCGGAGGA
rnacentral:misc_RNA from 1 species